AGAGUUUGAUCAUGGCUCAGGACGAACGCUGGCGGCGUGCUUAACACAUGCAAGUCGAACGGUGAAAGGAAGCUUGCUUCCUGGAUCAGUGGCGAACGGGUGAGUAACACGUGAGCAAUCUGCCCUUGACUCUGGGAUAAGCGUUGGAAACGACGUCUAAUACCGGAUACGACCCUCGGAGGCAUCUCCUGGGGGUGGAAAGAAUUUUGGUCAAGGAUGAGCUCGCGGCCUAUCAGCUUGUUGGUGAGGUAAUGGCUCACCAAGGCGACGACGGGUAGCCGGCCUGAGAGGGUGACCGGCCACACUGGGACUGAGACACGGCCCAGACUCCUACGGGAGGCAGCAGUGGGGAAUAUUGCACAAUGGGCGCAAGCCUGAUGCAGCAACGCCGCGUGAGGGACGACGGCCUUCGGGUUGUAAACCUCUUUUAGUAGGGAAGAAGCGAAAGUGACGGUACCUGCAGAAAAAGCACCGGCUAACUACGUGCCAGCAGCCGCGGUAAUACGUAGGGUGCAAGCGUUGUCCGGAAUUAUUGGGCGUAAAGAGCUCGUAGGCGGUUUGUCGCGUCUGCUGUGAAAACCCGAGGCUCAACCUCGGGCCUGCAGUGGGUACGGGCAGACUAGAGUGCGGUAGGGGAGAUUGGAAUUCCUGGUGUAGCGGUGGAAUGCGCGAUAUCAGGAGGAACACCGAUGGCGAAGGCAGAUCUCUGGGCCGUAACUGACGCUGAGGAGCGAAAGCAUGGGGAGCGAACAGGAUUAGAUACCCUAGUAGUCC
rnacentral:rRNA from 1 species